rnacentral:rRNA from 1 species
GCCUACGGCCAUACCACCUGAAAGCGCCCGAUCUCGUCUGAUCUCGGAAGCUAAGCAGGACGGGCUUGGUUAGUACCUGGAUGGGAGACCGCCUGGGAAUACCAGUGUUGUAGGCU